GAUUCCCGUGCAGCAGUCGCGAAACCUUCGCAAUGCGCGAAAGCGCGACGAGGCUACUCUGAGUGCCACCCGCUGAGGGUGGCUUUUCUCGGGUGUAAAAAGCCCGAGGAAUAAGGGGAGGGCAAGUCUGGUGUCAGCCGCCGCGGUAAUACCAGCUCCUCGAGUGGUUGGGGCGUUUAUUGGGCCUAAAGCAUCCGUAGCCGGCCCCAUAA
rnacentral:rRNA from 1 species